rnacentral:rRNA from 1 species
CCUACGGGGGCUGCAGUGGGGAAUAUUGGACAAUGGGGGGAACCCUGAUCCAGCCAUGCCGCGUGUGUGAAGAAGGCCCUCGGGUUGUAAAGCACUUUCAGUGAGGAAGAACGCCUGGUGGUUAAUACCCAUCAGGAAAGACAUCACUCACAGAAGAAGCACCGGCUAACUCCGUGCCAGCAGCCGCGGUAAUACGGAGGGUGCGAGCGUUAAUCGGAAUUACUGGGCGUAAAGCGCGCGUAGGUGGCUUGAUAAGCCGGUUGUGAAAGCCCCGGGCUCAACCUGGGAACGGCAUCCGGAACUGUCAAGCUAGAGUGCAGGAGAGGAAGGUAGAAUUCCCGGUGUAGCGGUGAAAUGCGUAGAGAUCGGGAGGAAUACCAGUGGCGAAGGCGGCCUUCUGGACUGACACUGACACUGAGGUGCGAAAGCGUGGGUAGCAAACAGGAUUAGAUACCCUGGUAGUC